rnacentral:lncRNA from 1 species
AUAUCACAAGUGGGUUCUAGGCCUAGAACCCACUUGUAACAUGGUAUCAGAGCCAUGAUUAAAGCCUAUCCUAGCGAGUUCUAAGUGAACAUUUCUGUUUCUAUUCCACCCAUUGUCGGGCCAAUAUUGGACCACCCAAUUUCUACUAUCACGCACGAAAUGUCUAUACCUCAGCGUGAAGGGGGUGUGUUGGAAGUCUCACAUCGACUAGAGAUAAGGCCAAUCUAUAAUAUAUAAGUGAGGUGCAAACCUCAUUCUUACAAGCCGGUUUUGUAGGGUUGAGUUAGGCCUCACUUCUAAUAUCUAAAACUCACUUCUAAUAUGGUAUCAGAGCCUAAGGUUCCUCUAAGGUAAAAGUUUCUGGUGCCUCUUCCACUACAUCAGUCGCUGCCGGCGGCGGGCCAUCUACCGCUGCCGGUGGCGCCAUCAUCUACCGUUGUUGUCUAUCGAUGCCACUAUCAGAGUUUAAGUUUCAACCGAUGAUCACACAGUUUUGAUCGUCUCAACCAAUUUCUCUAUCCUGUUCAUCCAUGGCUUCUUCCGCUACUGUCUCUUCUGACCUCUUUUUUAUCACUGUUGCGUUUGACCCGUCCAUAUAUGCUUUUUCCCAUGGAAAAGAUGGUUUGUUGUUAGUUUAUUUAUAGUCGUGGUGGCUCUCCAACAAUUACCUCUUUAUCCACUGGUGGCAUUCCUCAAGGGUGAUUUGCAAGAAGAGAUUUACAUGGAGCAACCUCCCAAAUUUGUUGCUCAUGGGGAGUCUUUUGGGUUGGUAUUUUUUCUUCUAUGUAGUCUUGCAAAUCAUUAGCAAUUUGGUGUCUGUGGAGUGCAGAAGCAGAUAUUUUCACCAAGUUUUUAUGGAUUAUUUUAGUAACAAGCUUGGUACAUACAAGAGGAGUGUCAGAUAUAUUAUAUUUAGUUAUAUUAUAUUU